CCCCCGCUAAUUUGGAACUCAGGGCUCUCAAUCUCCAUCUGCUGUGUUGGUGACAAUUGAGAGUCCCUGCUUAAGCUUGAAUAAACGACCCUCAUGUGCUUACAUCGGAAAUGGCCUCCUGGUGGUCUUUGGGACCUUGCAAUCUGGGCACAACACCAGCCACAGUAAGAUACUACUUUACUCCAACUAGAAGAGCUAUUGCCAAGAAGACAAUAGUAAAUGCUGAUCAAGAUAUAGAGAAAAGGGCAGCCUUCUAUGCUGUUGUUAGAAAUGUAAACUAGUACAACCACUGAGGAGAACAGAUUGAGGUUCCUCAAAAAAUUAAAAGUAGAGUUACCUUAUGACCCAGCGAUCCCACUACUGAGUAUAUAUCUGUGGAGAACACUUUGAAAUAAGAUGGAAUUGUAUAACCCUAAGUGUGCUGUAACCCUAAGUGUGCUGUAACCCUAAAGUGUGCUGUGACUUUAAGAGCGCUGUAACCUAAGUAUGACAUAAUCAUAAGAGUGAUGAAAGUAGAAUCUUAAGUGGUAUGGAACUGAUAAGGGUGUGCCCUGAACUGGACAAGGAGUACCCCCGAACUGGACAGGGUGCGCCCUGAAAUGGACAGUGUGAUAAGUCUGAACCAAUACCACAAGCGCCCAGUUAGAAUAGUAUAAAAGGAGCUGAAGACCCCAAGCAAGUCGACGAUCCAUCCACCGACCAGUCGACCAGUCAAUCUGCUGAUCUGAUUACCAACCGAGACAUCUGCACACCUGAUCCCACUGGAAGGAGCGUCUCCGCCGACCAGACGGGACCAGAGGAUGAGGCAAGCAGAGAGACGGAUAGCCUAACUCCGACUCGACGCCCUUCUUCUACGGAUCGGACCCUCUGACCCUACGGGAGGAAACGUCGCGCUCCCAUAAGGACUUGCGCAGUACAGGUACAGGGACGUGGUAAUUGGCAGACUUAAUAUUGUGUGGUAAUUGUAUUGAAGUGAAUUAUGAUAAGUGUGUGAACUGCCGUCCGUGUCCGAGUCCUCUUUACCCACGGUACCUGCUCACGACAAUAGCCAAAGGGAAUGAAAUCAGUAUGUAGAAAAGGCAUUUUCCCUCCAUGUUUAUUGUACCACCAUUUGCAAGAGCCACAAAGUGGAAACAACUGCAGAGUCCAACAGAUAAUGCAUAAGAAAAAGUGGUAUCACGAUGGUAUGUGAUUCAGCUAUAAAGCAUUAAAUUCUGCCAUUUAUGACAACGUGGAUGGAGUGGGAGAUCAUUUUGCUAAGCCAAGCACAGGUAGAAAAGUACUAUGUGAUCUUAUUCAUAUGUGGAAGCUAAAAAUGCUGACCUCACAGGAACAUAGGGAAAUGGCUAGAGGCAGCCAAGAGUGGAGGAGGGAGGAGUGGCAAAGGCUGGCCCACAAGAACUGAGGGACAGUUGUACAAAAGUAAGAGCUCUGCUAUGCCACUGCACAGAAGAGUUACUAUGGGAUUCCAGAUGCUGCAGCCUGUUUGACUCCCAGGAUAUAAUCCAGGAAAGAAUGGUGGGAGACUUGAUGAAUAUGAACAAGAAGGGUGAACCCUAGAAGGAAAGUCCUCAACAGGUGAGAAGGACAAUGACUGGUGCACACGCAGAGAGCACAGCCUGAGAAAGGGCUCUCAACAACAGAGACAAAGGCACAAAACAUUUCUUCUCCCAGCACUGAAGAGUUCUGCAGGAGACUGGCCACAUCUGUAAUGAGGGCAUCCCGGACGGCUUGGAGCUGAGCCAGGCUCUCCAGCCAUAGGAGGGGAGGCCAGAAGGCCAAGAUGCAGAAGGUGCAGCACUGAUGAGCUGACUCCAGCAGCUCAAAGUCCACAGUCAGCUGGCUCCAAAGCAGGGAACAUCACAGAGGAGAAACAGUCCAUGGCAAAGCAGGGCAGACAGAAGGCAGCAAAGCAGUGAAGCAACAGCAGCAGGCCAAGUAGCAACCAAAGUAGCAAGUGAUGACAGCAGCCCGGAACCACUGAGUGUGCAAGAAUUUUAGGAGACAAAGCCUGUGAAGAGCUUCGUCCCAUCCCUGGCCCAGGAUGAACAUUCAUCAGAGCUGACACUGAUGAGAAUUUGGGCUCGGCCAAGGUCCUGCAUGUCUGAGGCAGCUCCUCGAGUGUGACUUGGGGCUCCUGGAGGCUCCCACGGUUCUGCAGUGAAGACUGGAGAGCAGCAGGCAUCUUAGCUCUCAAAUGUAGCACCACUUAAGAGAUGGGUUUGAUUUCCCUGAAACUGUUUGGACCUAUUUGUAUAAAAUUUUAUAUGGAAUAGAUAGUGUGAGAUUUUUAAGUAAUUAUUUUGUGGUGACUUAAAAAAUUAGUUUUCAAAUAGAGAUGUAAAAGUUUUGAAAAUAUAUUUGUGUUAAUUUGGAAUCCAUAUUAAAAAUUAAUAAAAAAUAUGGAGAGUAAUAUAAUUCUUGUUAAAUUUAUG
ensembl:lncRNA